rnacentral:rRNA from 1 species
UUACUUCCAAUCAGUGGAAAUUGACCUGUCCCGGUGAAGAGCGGGAAUGCACAAAUAAGACGAGAAGACCCUAUGGAGCUUUAACUAACCNACCCAAAGAGAAUAGAUUUAACCAUUAAGGAAUAACAACAAUCUCCAUGAGUUGGUAGUUUCGUUGGGGUGACCUCGGAGAAUAAAAAAUCCUCCGAGCGAUUUUAAAGACUAGACCCACAAGUCAAAUCACUCUAUCGCUCAUUGAUCCAAAACUUGAUCAACGGAACAAGUUACCCUAGGGAUAACAGCGCAAUCCUAUUCAAGAGUCCAUAUCGACAAUAGGGUUUACGACCUCGAUGUUGGAUCAGGACAUCCUGAUGGUGCAACCGCUAUCAAAGGUUCGUUUGUUCAACGAUUAAAGUCCUACGUGAUCUGAGUUCAGACCGGAGUAAUCCAGGUCGGUUUCUAUCUAUUACGUAUUUCUCCCAGUACGAAAGGACAAGAGAAAUAAGGCCAACUUUAAAUCAAGCGCCUUAAGAC